UCCCAGCAGUCCAAGUCGCAGCCACAUUUGUUGGGUCUAAAACAUCCGUAGCUUGCUGCGUAAGUCUUUUGUGAAAUCUGGCCUCUUAAGGGUCGGGCGUGCAAAAGAUACUGCGUAGCUUGAGACCGGGAGACGUAGCGAGUACAGCAAGGGUAGCGGUAAAAUGUGUUGAUCCUUACUGGACUAACAAUAGCGAAGGCACGCUACGAGAACGGAUCUGACAGUGAGGGAUGAAGGCUAGGGGCGCAAAGUGG
rnacentral:rRNA from 1 species